AAAGAAACAGACCUUAAAGAAGUCAUGAAUUGAGUGGGUGGAGAAGAGGAGGUUAAAGGGAGUAAGCAAAUCAUAAUGUGUUGGGGUUUUCACAGAUAAAUAGUUAAGCUGUGAUGCUGUGUUGCAGAAUACAAAUGGAGAGAUUUGCAUGGGAUGCAGAAAUAUGGAAGACUAACCAAGCAGACCAGGAGAGACCAGCAAUAGUGUCCCAGAGACCAUGAUGUCUGAGCCCAGUUUUGGAAGAAUACUUUCUUUCCAGGCUGGGCAUGGUGGCUCACACCUGUAAUCCCAGCACUUUGGGAGGCCAAGACAAGAGGAUUGCUUGAGCCCAGGAAGGAGUUGGAGACCAGCCUGAGCAACAACAACAACAAAAUUAGCCAGGCAUAGUGGUGCACAUCUGUAGUCCCAGCUACUUGGGAGGCUGAGGUAAGAGAAUUGCUUGAGCUCAGGAGGUUGAGGCUGCAGUGAGCUGUGAUCCCACCACUGCACUCCAGCUUGGGGAAAGAGCAAGACUCUGCCUCCCCC
rnacentral:lncRNA from 10 species